AGUAGUGGCAGUACGGCUGAG
rnacentral:misc_RNA from 1 species